rnacentral:rRNA from 1 species
GCCGGGGCAUGCACGCGCUAUCCGGAAUCACUGGGCGUAAAGCGUCUGUAGGUGGUGAUGCAAGUCACUGGUGCAAAACUCUGGCUCAACCGGAGGAAAGCCAGUGAAACUGCAUGACUAGAGUGUGGGAGAGGUAGAAGGAAUUCCCUGAGUAGCGGUGAAAUGCGUAGAUACAGGGAAGAACACCGGAGGCGAAAGCGUUCUACUGGAACACAACUGACACUGAGAGACGAAAGCUAGGGGAGCGAAUGGG